CAGUUUGGAACACUCUAUUUGGAGAACCUGUGAAAAGAUUUUGGAAGCCCAUAGAAGCCUGUAGCAGGUAGAAAGCACUGUUUCUGGAGAAUCCUUGAUGGAAUAUUUGGGAGCCCUUGAGUCCUAUGGAGGAAAAUCAAAUAUCCCAAGAAAAAAAAUUGAAAUAAGCUGCUUAGUGAUUUGUGGAUUCAUCUGACAGAGUGAAACCUUUCUUUUGAUUCAGCAUCUUGGAAACAAUAUCUUUGGAGCUCCUGUGAAGGGUCAUUUUGGAACCCACUGGGGACUACGGGGAAAAACUGAAUAUCUC
rnacentral:lncRNA from 10 species